rnacentral:rRNA from 1 species
UACAGGGGGUGCAAACGUUGCUCGGAAUUAUUGGGCGUAAAGCGCGCGUAGGCGGCCGCUUAAGUCGGAUGUGAAAGCCCCUGGCUCAACUGGGGACGUGCACCCGAAACUGAGUGGCUUGAGUACUAAAGAGGGUCGCGGAAUUCCCGGUGUAGAGGUGAAAUUCGUAGAUAUCGGGAGGAACACCGGUGGCGAAGGCGGCGACCUGGGUAGAUACUGACGCUGAGGAGCGAAAGCGUGGGGAGCGAACAGG